rnacentral:rRNA from 1 species
AGAGUUUGAUCAUGGCUCAGAAUCAACGCUGGCGGCGCGCUUAACACAUGCAAGUCGCACGAGAAAGUGGGAAACCAUGAGUACAGUGGCGUACGGGUGAGUAACACGUGGGUAAUCUACCUCUGAGUGGGGAAUAACCCUGGGAAACCGGGGCUAAUACCGCAUAAUCUCGAGAGAGGAAAGCAGCAAUGCGCUGAGAGAGGAGCCCGCGGCCGAUUAGCUAGUUGGUAGGGUAAGAGCCUACCAAGGCAGAGAUCGGUAGCCGGCCUGAGAGGGCACACGGCCACACUGGCACUGAAACACGGGCCAGACUCCUACGGGAGGCAGCAGUGGGGAAUCUUGCACAAUGGGGGAAACCCUGAUGCAGCGACGCCGCGUGAGCGAUGAAGCCCUUCGGGGUGUAAAGCUCUUUCGUCAGGGAAGAUCAUGACGGUACCUGGAGAAGCAGCUGCGGCUAACUACGUGCCAGCAGCCGCGGUAAUACGUAGGCAGCGAGCGUUGUUCGGAGUUACUGGGCGUAAAGGGUGUGUAGGCGGUUCUUUAAGUUUGGUGUGAAAUCUCCCGGCUCAACCGGGAGGGUGCGCCGAAUACUGAGGGACUUGGAGUGCGGGAGAGGAAAGUGGAAUUCCUGGUGUAGCGGUGAAAUGCGUAGAUAUCAGGAGGAACACCGGUGGUGUAGACGGCUUUCUGGACCGUAACUGACGCUGAGACACGAAAGCGUGGGUAGCAAACAGGAUUAGAUACCCUGGUAGUCCACGCCCUAAACGAUGCAUAUUUGGUGUGGGUCAUUCAGUUGAUCCGUGCCGGAGCUAACGCGUUAAAUAUGCCGCCUGGGGAGUACAGUCGCAAGGCUGAAACUCAAAGGAAUUGACGGGGCCCGCACAAGCGGUGGAGCAUGUGGUUCAAUUCGACGCAACGCGAAGAACCUUACCUGGGCUCGAACGGCUGGUCAACGGAGGUGG